GGUUCCGUGGCCCAAUGGUAAGGCGUUGCUUUCCGGCGGUGGGAGCAGCAUCCUGCUCGUAGACUGGCAAAGAUUGUGGGUUCGAGUCCCAUCGGGAUCG
rnacentral:tRNA from 1 species